rnacentral:rRNA from 1 species
AACGAACGCUGGCGGCAUGCCUAACACAUGCAAGUCGAACGAGACCUUCGGGUCUAGUGGCGCACGGGUGCGUAACGCGUGGGAGCCUGCCCUUAGGUUCGGAAUAACUCCCCGAAAGGGGUGCUAAUACCGGAUAAUGUCUUCGGACCAAAGAUUUAUCGCCUUUGGAUGGGCCGGCGUUGGAUUAGCUAGUUGGUAGGGUAAAAGCCUACCAAGGCGACGAUCCAUAGCUGGUCUGAGAGGAUGAUCAGCCACACUGGGACUGAGACACGGCCCAGACUCCUACGGGAGGCAGCAGUGGGGAAUAUUGGACAAUGGGCGAAAGCCUGAGCAAGCAAUGCCGCGUGAGUGAUGAAGGCCUUAGGGUUGUAAAGCUCUUUUAGCCGGGAUGAUAAUGACGGUACCGGGAGAAUAAGCUCCGGCUAACUACGUG